UACGGGGGGGGCAAGCGUUGUUCGGAAUCAUUGGGCGUAAAGGGUGCGUAGGCGGCGCGGUAAGUCACUUGUGAAAUCUCUGAGCUUAACUCAGAACGGCCAAGUGAUACUGCAGUGCUAGAGUGUGGAAGGGGCAAUCGGAAUUCUUGGUGUAGCGGUGAAAUGCGUAGAUAUCAAGAGGAACACCUGAGGUGAAGACGGGUUGCUGGGCCAACACUGACGCUGAGGCGCGAAAGCCAGGGGAGCAAACGGG
rnacentral:rRNA from 1 species